rnacentral:rRNA from 1 species
CCAAUAGCGUAUAUUAAAGUUGUUGCAGUUAAAAAGCUCGUAGUUGAAUUUCGAGACCGGUUUAUUGGUCGUGCUUUUGUACGUACUGGUAUAAUCGGUUUCUCUCUUCUGACGAACUAUAAUGCCAUUAAUUUGGUGUUAUGGGAAAUCAGGACUGUUACUUUGAAAAAAUUAGAGUGUUUAAAGCAGGCUCACGCUUGAAUACAUUAGCAUGGAAUAA